UGUAAAUGUACGUACAAAUCCUUACAUACACACAAAAGUGAGCAAACAGGUUCUUAACAGCAGAGAAGACACAGCUGAAGAACAAAUUCAUGUAUUGGAAAAAAGGUUAAAAGAUACCUGCAAUGAAUUACAAAAACAAA